rnacentral:rRNA from 11 species
UAAACUAUGCAUAUAUACCCUAGAGGCACCAGAUCCCAUCUGAUCUUGGAAGCUAAGCAGAGUGAGCCCCAGUUUGGAGGAGACUGAACAAAUAUCAAGUGCUGUAGGCUAUAUUUCAG